rnacentral:rRNA from 1 species
CGCGUAGGCGGCUUGGUAAGGGGGCGGUGAAAGCCCGGGGCUCAACCCCGGGUCGGCCGGACCGACUGCCGAGCUUGAGCACACUAGGGGCAGGUGGAAUUCCGGGUGUAGCGGUGGAAUGCGUAGAGAUCCGGAGGAACACCGGUGGCGAAGGCGGCCUGCUGGGGUGUGGCUGACGCUGAGGCGCGACAGCGUGGGGAGCAAACAGGAUUAGAUACCCUGGUAGUCCACGCCGUAAACGAUGGGCACUAGGUGCUCGGGGGAGCGACCCCUUGGGUGCCGGCGCUAACGCAUUAAGUGCCCCGCCUGGGGAGUACGGCCGCAAGGCUGAA